rnacentral:tRNA from 1 species
UUAAAAGUAAGCUAAAUUAAGCUAAUGGGUCUAUACCCCAUCAACAGACAGUCUCUUUUAAA